rnacentral:rRNA from 1 species
UACGUAGGGUGCAAGCGUUAAUCGGAAUUACUGGGCGUAAAGCGUGCGCAGGCGGUUAUAUAAGACAGUCGUGAAAUCCCCGGGCGUCAACCUGGGAACGUGCGAUUGUGACUGUAUGGCUAGAGUGUGUCAGAGGGGGUAGGAAUUCCACGUGUAGCAGUGAAAUAGCGUAGAUAUGUGGAGGAAUACCGAUGGCGAAGGCAGCCCCUCGGGAGUAACACUGACGCUCAUGCACGAAAGACGU